rnacentral:rRNA from 1 species
ACUACGGGAGGCAGCAGUGAGGAAUAUUGGUCAAUGGGCGGAAGCCUGAACCAGCCAAGUCGCGUGAGGGAUUAAGGCCCUGCGGGUCGUAAACCUCUUUUGCCGGGGAGCAGUGGUCCGGACGCGUCCGGACCGGGAGAGUACCCGGAGAAAAAGCAUCGGCUAACUCCGUGCCAGCAGCCGCGGUAAUACGGAGGAUGCGAGCGUUCUCCGGAUUUAUUGGGUUUAAAGGGUGCGUAGGGGGGCCUUUAUGCCGGCGGUAAAAUGUCGGGGCUCAACCCCGGACGGCCGUCGGGACUGGGUGCCUUGAGUGGGCGAGAAGUAUGCGGAAUGCGUGGUGUAGCGGUGAAAUGCAUAGAUAUCACGCAGAACCCCGAUUGCGAAGGCAGCAUACCGGCGCCCUACUGACGCUGAGGCACGAAAGUGCGGGUAUCGAACAGGAUUAGAUACCCCGGUAGUC